UGGACUUGCUCCCUGAUGUUACGGCGGACGGGUGAGUACACGUGGGUACCUGCCUGUAAGACUGGGAUAACUCCGGGAAACCGGGGCUAAUACCGGAUGGUUGUCUGAACCGCAUGGUUCAGACAUAAAAGGUGGCUUCGGCUACCACUUACAGAUGGACCCGCGGCGCAUUAGCUAGUUGGUGAGGUAACGGCUCACCAAGGCGACGAUGCGUAGCCGACCUGAGAGGGUGAUCGGCCACACUGGGACUGAGACACGGCCCAGACUCCUACGGGAGGCAGCAGUAGGGAAUCUUCCGCAAUGGACGAAAGUCUGACGGAGCAACGCCGCGUGAGUGAUGAAGGUUUUCGGAUCGUAAAGCUCUGUUGUUAGGGAAGAACAAGUGCCGUUCAAAUAGGGCGGCACCUUGGACGGUACCUAACCAGAAAGCCACGGCUAACUACGUGCCAGCAGCCGCGGUAAUACGUAGGUGGCAAGCGUUGUC
rnacentral:rRNA from 1 species